AGAGGGUGUAAAUGUUCUCACUGUCUACCCUUUCGUGAAUGGUUAUUUUUUGUAAAGGCCAAGUCCUCAGUGGGCUUUUGUCUGUCAGUGAGCUGUGCCUUAUUUCGAGUGGGUAAUUGAAGAAGAAAGGGUCUGGCAGUGGAUUCUUUAAAAGGAAAGCAGGGGCACCUGGGUGGCUCAGUGGGCUAAUCGGCUGCCUUGCGCCAGGUGGUGAUCUCAGGGUCCUGGAAUGAAGUCCUGUGUUAGGCUCCCUGCCUGCUCUCUCUCUCUCAAAUAAAUAAAAUCUUAAAAAAAAAAAAAGAAAAGAAAAAAGGAAAGCAAGGCAGGAUUUUUCUGUUCCAUUUUUCUUGUGUUAUGAGUAGUGAGUGGUAAAGUUCAUGUGACUUUCUUACUGAUGUGCACUUUUUUUCUCCUCUCAGUGUUUUAGGAAAAAGAUCUUUUUAUUGAUUUUUAUUUUAUGCCGUACAUGGUCUCAGUUGCUAAGAAAGGUGGUAAUGGGUGAAAACUAGAAAAGUAGAAGACGGGAAACCACUAACGGAGGGUUCAAAGUGGAAGCCUGUCAAAACAGGAAGAGUACAUGUAGUCCAUGCAACCCUGCUAGUCUGUGCUUUGGUGCAUGCAAAUGGGUGGGAGCACGCGUGUCUGAGAGCUAGCAGUUGCCACAAGUUUUUUUUGUUUGUUUGUUACGGUUAUUUCCCCAGGUUUUGUUGUUAAUAUCUUGUGGAAAAUUGUUGUCCCAAUAACUCCUUUCGUCUUUCAUUAAUUUUUCUUAGUGUUUCGUACUUCCUGCCAUCUGUACUCAGAUUUUUCUUUUUUCUACCACCAGCCCCCUAACCAGAAAUAAGUUUUCUGGUAACAGAUGAAGAUUAUUUAUUUCUAGGGUGCAGUCCAAGAGCUUGGAAAAGAGGCUGUGGUCUUCAGACAAAGUGUAGAUGUCACAGACUUCAAGAGGAAGGUGGCAGAGUCACAGCCAGUGGACAUGUCCGACCAUGAUGAAUUUUGGAAUAUACACCAGGGGCUGCAAGAACAACUGAGCUGGAAUUCCUCUGGGCCUGUUCACCAGAUUCUAGCCUUUUCUGAGAAGACAAACACCAAACACCGGACAAUGGCACCAGAAUUCGUCUUGCCUGAGUCCCAGGUGAGCUGUGGAAUCCAGCUGUUGAGGGCCGCUUUUCCCUGCUCCCCAGGACCCAUACUGCCCAGCUCACAGGCAUAUUAGUCCCAGUGUUCUCUCUGGGGAACUGGGCACCUCCUAGCCUAUUGAUGAUCCCUUGCUUCUUUCCGUUUUGCCUUCUUACUUUAAAAAAAAAAGUGGGUG
ensembl:lncRNA